AUGCCUAUUAAUGCUAAAGAAAGAUUGAUUCAUUAUGUCAGAAAUAUAGAGGAGCACAGAGCAAAAAGGAUUGAACUCAGAGCAAAAAAGGUUAAAACCCAAGCGGGUGACGCCCAACAAGAUGAAGCGGAUAUCCCAAUUCAUGGCAGCAAAGGAGAUGGCUGGAACGAGUUAAUUCUGCAAGGCAUGACAAUUCUUGAGAAGCUCGCGACCGACCAACAGAACUGCAGCGACAUCUGCAGCACCCCUGAUCUCCUCCCCAAGAUCAUGGCGCCUCUUCACUCUGAGACACUAAUCCAAGAUAUCAGUAUAGAUGCAUGGGCAGAUAUAGUAAACGGAUCGUUGAUAGUGGUUCACAGGCUCAUCCAUGCUCCUGAGUGGACAGGCAGAAGGGUGCACUCUGAAGUAUGUUCUAGCAAACAUGCCGUGAGCAACCUGGAGGAAAUUCUUGAUGAGGGCAAUGGAAAUGUCGUAGAACUGCAGAUGCGGGCCAUGGAGAUCCUGACAGAACUGGCUAUGGAUAUGCAAACUGAUCUCAGCAGUAAAACAAUAGUAAAUCUCAUCAAGAAGCAGCUGCAGAUCUUCCUUGCUGACGGUGAACCGGAAGAACAAGACACCAAGCUCGUCACGAAAAGGCUGAAAGUAACGGCUGGUAAAACAUUGGCACUAUUAUCCAAGACAGUAACUAUAUCUGCGCUUGUAGGGAGGGAAUAUGAGAACAUUGUUGAAUUACUUGAUGCUAAGAACACGAUUGUAUACAGAACAAUAGCAGCAGAGAUCUUGGAGAAUUUGUGUAGUCACCAUCAAAUGGACAAGGAACAUGUGAAGACUAUCUUGCUGCCAAAGCUACUCACACAAGUGUUGAACAGCCAAAGAGAACCCACAACUGAAGCAUCUCAAAGCAAUGUUUCUGCAUCGGGCGAUGAUGCAGAGCAGCAACAGCUUUCUAUACUGGGAAAUGAUGAAGAAAAACAACUUUCGGAGCACAAGAGCCAAAAUAAGUCCACCGAUCAAACAAUUGAGGAGCGAACUGCUAUGAUGGAAUUGCAAGAAGCGUUCUUAUCUCUUAUUUUGGUGAUAUGCAGCAAACAGAUCAGUGCAGAUGACCUCAACGUCGUGGCUCUAACGAUCGUCACAGCAGAAGGUGAAUUUGUGGCGAAGCUCAAGACUAUAGUAGAAGAGAACUGUGAGGCCACGGCUAACAGCCUAAGAAUUGUCAAGCUUUGCGGUCAGAUUGCUCUUACAAUGAUGCGGCGCGGCCAGUACAGCGCACACUUCAAGGAUCAGAAAUUCAUGGAGACACUGUCUAAGGCUUCGACAAUCAUGUCUAACCUUGAAAGCUGCAUGCUCUUUGCUGGUACUGACUGUGGAGCCAAGAAGACUGUCAGGCCCCUCUUCUCGGAUCUUGUGAAAGAGGCACAAGCGUUGGCUGCUUAA
rnacentral:rRNA from 1 species